ACACCAACCUCUCGACAAAACCACCCACCCCACCGCUCUCCCGUCCUCUCUUUCUCUCUCUGUCCAUCUUCCCGUUCUAUUCGAUGAUGACUAUGGUAAUGGACCAACAGCAACAGCCACAGCAGCAGCAGCAGCAGCAGCAGCAGCAGCAGCAGGCCUACAUGCACUACUGCCGGAUCUGCAAGAAGGGGUUUGGCUGCGGCCGGGCUCUUGGCGGCCACAUGCGAGCCCAUGGCAUCAACGACGACAUCCAUACCGACCCGCACGACGACCCGCCUUCAAGCCAAUGGGACGACAGACUCGAUCCCCCCGCCGGCCACAAGCGCAUGUACGCCCUCCGCACCAACCCCAACCGCCUCAAGAGCUGCCGCGUCUGCGAGAACUGCGGCAAGGAGUUCCUCUCCUGGAAGUCCUUCCUCGAGCACGGCAAAUGCAGUUCCGAGGAGGACGCCGGCGAGGACUACUCCCUCGCCUCCUCCCCUCGAUCCGAUGCCGAUGACGAUGACCCCGUCCCAGGGUCCGCCGGCUGGUCUAAAGGGAAGCGGUCGCGCCGGGCCAAGGCCGUGUCGACGCCGGUCUGCCCCUCGAGCGAGGAGGAGGACCUCGCCAACUGUCUUGUGAUGCUCUCGGCCGCCCGCGUCGAUCCGGUGGCCAUCGUUGAGACCGAGGAGUCGUGCGCGUCCGCCAGCAAGGAAGAAGAUCGGCGGCAGCAUCCGAUCGCGGUCACCGCCACCACCGAGAAGCCUAAAGCCGCCGUGUUCCCGCCCCCGGCCGUCCCGAGGGGAAUGUUCGAGUGCAAGGCUUGCAAGAAGGUCUUCAGCUCCCAUCAGGCCCUGGGCGGCCACAGGGCCAGCCAUAAGAAGGUCAAGGGUUGCUUUGCCGCCAAAAUCGACGACCUGGAAGAGGCCCUGCCGGACGACGAGGUGAUCACUCAUGACAACAACAACAGCGAGAUGGCGGCAGCGGGGAUGGCGAUGGCGAUCGUGCCAUUCGACAACACCCCGCUGGCCAUCAUGCCGCUCAAGAAGAAGUCCAAGGUGCACGAAUGCUCGAUAUGCCACCGGGUGUUCGCUUCAGGGCAGGCGCUUGGAGGGCACAAGCGGUGCCACUGGAUCACGUUGAAUGCACCGGACCCCGCUGCGGUUGCGAAGCUCCAUCCGUUGCCGCCAGGCCACGCCGCCGGAGGCGUCCACCCCCAGUUGACGCUGAGGCCCAUGUUCGAGAGCUCCGACACUCUCGACCUCAACCUCCCGGCUCCGAUCGAGGACCUUGCCGGGGUCCAGCAGGACAUAGGGAGCCCGUUGCAACUCGAUGUGCCGGCGGGGCUAUACGUACAGCCAUGGAUCGAUCAUAGCAACACCAACACCAAUGCCGAUAUCAACACCAACGAGAACAAAGCCACUACUAGCAGUAACAACAACAACAACAGCGUGGACAUCCGGGAACACAACAAUGAGCCAAUAACUAAUGCGAAUGUGGAUGACGAGGCGGACAGUAAGGUAAAGCUAGCGAAGCUGAGUGAGCUCAAGGACAUCAACAUGGGAGGGGAGAGCUCUCCUUGGUUGCAGGUGGGGAUUGGGUCAUCUACCAAGGAGGAUACUGGACCAUGAGGACGUACGUACAGGAAAAAAUUAUCUCAUUCCAUUUUGAAGAACUGUGCGUUGUACAAGGGGCUAUUGUACUGAUGGAUUCCACACCAAAGACAAAGCACACCUAAAGGAAAAGGGACAUUGGACUUGCCCCCACUGUAUCCGAGGAGUAUUGUGGUGAGAAUCGAUCAGUUCAGAUUUGGUAUGGGGCCUAUGAGCAGUUAGGGAGUCCCCAGCAAUGGAAUCCUUUGUUUUUAACAAUUUAUUAAACUGCACUACCUUUU